UACGGAGGGUGCAAGCGUUGUCCGGAUUUAUUGGGCUUAAAGGGUGCGUAGGCGGUUAACUAAGUCAGUGGUGAAAGGCAGCAGCUUAACUGUUAGCACUGCCAUUGAUACUGGUUGACUUGAGUACAGACGAGGUAGGCGGAAUUUAUGGUGUAGCGGUGAAAUGCAUAGAUACCAUAAAGAACACCGAUUGCGAAGGCAGCUUACUAGACUGUAACUGACGCUGAGGCACGAAAGCGUGGGGAGCGAACAGG
rnacentral:rRNA from 1 species